rnacentral:lncRNA from 1 species
UGAUUCCCAGUUCCCUGCAACAUGAUUCCGAUUUGCCCACUGUGCGAAGCAAAAGUGCGACAAAACAAGACUCAAGAGUCAGUCCCUUAAUGUCAUGUUGGUUUAUGCAAAUUGAUCAUGGAACAAUGCAACUAAUAUUAAAAAUUCACUUUUUGAAGAGAAAAAAAAUUGGAAUACAUUAUCUACAUAUUUGAAGCAGUUGACAAGAAAGGUAAUCAGUGGCUCAAGUUACAAACCAAACUCCUCAGGUCUUCUUUUGAACUUCUUUAAACACACAAAAAGUCCUUCACAGUUGCAAUAAAAAAAUAUGAAGGGCCAAGAACGAUACAUUUCAAUAAUAUUACAACAGAGCAAUAGGCACUUGAAGCAACACCAUAAAGGCAUAAACAAACAAUUUAUACUGAAUCUACUCCCUCCACCUGCUGUCGAGCAAGAUAUCUUUCUCUUCUUUCUUUCUACAAAAAAUAGAACAUAAUAACAUUAAGGAAAAAAUCCAGAAAGCAAUUUCUACAGGACUGUGAUUCGGAUUCAACAAAAACUAACCCAUUCAUCUAUGACCAGUCCUUCGCCAAUAAUCUUUGGACCUGUUUCUUCUGGAGGUUUUUUGCGAGACUCAACAGCAGCCUCAGCUUCAGCCAGCUGACGUUUUAAUUUCUCAAGAGCCUUGCAAUGAAUUAAAGGGAAUAAUUUAUACAUUAUUCAAUUCUUUUCUCUAUUUUAUAUAUUAUACAUGGUGGCUGCCUAGAGACAACUAAUUGCACAAGUUAUGCCUACAUAAGGUAUCCAUACAUGUUCACAAAAAAAAGAACAAGCAACACAAUAGAAAGGCCUGCCAAAUAAGAGCACCACUGACUCCACCCUUUUUUAUAAUGAAAGCACCAUUUUCAAUCCAUGUAGAAAAUGAAUCACGACCAUACUACUGUAUAAAUGAGUGAAUAAAAAACCCUUACAGGAGUAGGACGUUCCACAUCAAGAAAUACAACCCGUAAUAUCUGCUCAACAGCAACUUGAUCCUUUUGUUCAUCAAACUGAAAUGAAACAAGAACAGAAUCUUCACCAAGGAUGAAAGAUAAAUAUUUGAUAGCAAUGCAGAAGCCACUCCAACUCUCCUUCAAAUUUACUCAUAAUAACCGUAGUAUGCAUAUCAAAAUACUAUAUUAGUCCCAUAAUAUUCAGCUUGAGAGAUGCAAGUUUGAUGUAUAGUGGUUGCCACAUAGUACAAAAAAGAAUGAAUCAAACCAUCAUAACAGGUACAGUUCAUACCAGCUCAGGUACAUAGUCCAUCGGUCCUUUCACCUUCAGGCUCAUGAUCUUAAACUUCACCCUGCUUUUCUGAUCCAUUGGCUUUUCAUUGUUCUCCGGAUUCUCCACAAAUUUAAAUACUUUUGAUACAAAAAAAAAGUCAAAACUAACUCAAUAUACAACUUGAAGUGAAGACCAAAUAUCAAAUAUGAUUAUCUCAACAAGCUAAUUUGGACAACUCUGUAUAAUGUGGCAACUAUAACUAUGCUAUGAAAAGAAAAACAUGAAGAAAGAUCAUAAAGAAGACAUUACCAGUAGCUAUAAGACUCUCGCCAGGAGCAAGAAUUGCCCCUGGAGGACGCAUAAAACAGCUCUUUGGUGCAGUUGUUUGGAACUAAAUCACAUAAGCAAGAAGCAUUAAUCAACAAAAUUAAGGACAUUAUAGGUCAGAAAAGAAAUAUUUAUUAUGAACACAUUUACUAACACUGUAUCACUGCCCUAAAAAGAUGCAUCAUGGUCAAGAUACGGAAGGAAUACAGGUAUAAUACCUUAAAAGCUACAUGAGAUUUGCUUGUAUUUUUAAUCCCAAUCGCACUCCGGACUUGUUUGCCAGGUUCGUCUAAAAUGAUACAAAAAAAGGUUCAAAUGUAAGCACUACUACCAUAUUUAACAGCACCUCAUACAAGAAAACGUAAGCUGAAAAUUAAAUUACAGGGCUAUAAUUUUGUACUCCAAUGCAGAUAUAUGUAACAUCUACAAAAAUUCAACCCAUUCUAAAAAAGCAACAGCAAAAGACGGCCAUGCCAGAGAAAUAAAUUUAGCUAAUAAACAUACACAUGUUAAAAGACAUCAAGAUCAUCAGACAUCAAGAACAUAUACAAGUGUAAACUGAGAGGAGGCUUUAUCAUCAAGUGACCUUGUCUUUCCUAUUUACAUUUUGCAUUGGUAGGGUGUAAAAUGGAAGAAGAAAUUAAAACAUUAACAAUCUCUUAACCAAAGCUUUUGUGAGAAGUUCGCAAACUCAACUAUCACUCUUCUUGUAGACAUAACAAUUCUAGCUAUAUACAAAACCAUUACCCAGUAAAGGCUCAAACAGAUAUACAAAUAAAACAUUUUUCGCACAUGUCCAGAUAAUCUUAACGGACAUAGAUACGAAGGACGUGCCUUCUACUCGUAAAAUUAUUUCUUUAAUUCACAACCUUUUUUCCUGAUUCAUGGCUAUACAUGCAAUAUGAUUUACCUCAUCUAUAGUCUGCAUGUGUGAAACAAUNAUUUUUUUAACAAAUGAAUACUUAUUUAUAUAAAUAAGAAAGGAUAAAUGAUUUUUAAAUAUUCAGUUUUAAAAGAUAAUAUGUAAGUAUGGAAUUGUAUUCUCAAAUAAGUCUAAAGUUUGAUAAAAUAAGAACACAUUAUAGCAUUUUCAACCACACAAAACCCUUAGCUAAAAUACAAGAAAUCUGUGUUACACAUUAUUUGUAUUGAACUGAUAUAUUCAAUUUUAACAAACUAAAAUAUUAAUAACAUACUAUUUUUAAAUUAUAACCAACCAAUAUAGCCAAUACCAUUCGAGUGCAACAGUUUCGGCAAAUUAUGCAUAAUAUCGUAUAUAUUUUAUUUUAACAAACUAAAAUAUUAAUAACAUACUAAUUUUAAAUUAUAACCAACUAAUAUAACCAAUACAAUGUCUUGCCUUUUCAGCAAAUCAUAAUAAUAUAAUAUCUCUUAGGUCCAAUUUUAACCAAUAAUUAUAGUCAACCUCUAAAUUACUGUUAGGCAACUUUGAGUCGAAUUUGUAUUAACAGUCCAGUUUUAAACAAAAAGUAUACUUGCACUCGUACUAUAACUAGGGAGAGAUCUUCUGGAAUGAGCAACUACACAUAUAUCGGGAGAAUUUAAAAUUCAAGUUUUAAGUAGAGAAGUAAAUGAGUAAACUCAAGUUUGCAGGAAUAAAGAACAUUCAAGCUACAUUGCUCCUUUGCAUGUCAAAUUAAGAAGAAAAAAGAUCACAGGAACUCUUAUUAAGCUAUAGAACUGUUAACCAAUCCUAUUAUUUAGCUGAUGCAGGAGCUCAUCAUCAUCAGUUGUUCCGGAUUCACAUAAUUAGAUGGCAGCUGAAAUCAAGCACUCCCAACAACACAAAGCCACUGGCCGACGAACAAUGUAGCGCAGUUGACAUUGGGGUUGAUGGAGUUGAACUCAUCAGCUGACAAGGCAAAACUCUGAGCAAUGCUAAAGCAAGUAUCUCCGCUGCUCACUCCAGUCACCAUAUCACAUGUUGGAACGGAUGCUUUUGCAAGCCUCCCUGUUUUCAGAAAUACAACUCAUAAACUAAUUUGCAAUACAAUAAUAAGUGAAAUUUUGGAGAGUUACAACGUGAUCAACAUUAAUUCAGAUAAUCAAAUUAACAAAGAUAUGAAUCCUGAAGAUACUUACUGGGCAAAACUGAUCUGCUUUCAGAAAUAGCAAAGAUGAGAAGAAGAGCAAGUGUGAGAAUGAGCAGGGCACUAUUGUUGUUGCUUGUCUUGGCCAUUGCACUAUUUGUUCUUGGAGGAAAGCAGCUAAGCCAGAUAAGAUGAGGAUACUUGCUUUCUUACUUCUGUGUUAGUGCUUCCUUAAACCCCACAUUUAUACUUUACAUUGAGGAAUGCGACCAGCAAGUAAGCCAAAAAUCAUUGUUUCCUUAGAAACAUACCCGCCCUCUUGUGACGCCAUGCGAUUUAACCAAUCAGGUACGCCGAUUUGUAUGCCCAUAACAGAUAGAUGAUCCACACACAGGUACCAGACAAAUCCAAAAUACUUAGUAAAACAUUAAGUAAAAAGUCCGACAAAUAAUUUAGUAACGCAUAAAGAAAUAGUGAGUUGCAGACUGCAGUAGUCAAUUAGUCAUUUAGUCCUCUUUCACUCAUUUGCCUAAUUAUCUGUCAUAUGUCUGAUGAGAGAGCAGACGCUUACUCACACUAGAACCUAUUUGGACUGGCAUAUUUUGGCCGACUAUAUUUUUUUUGUAAGACGAUUUAAUUCAGAACUAAACACUAACGAUUAUGCAAGCAGUUAAGACCCGGUUUAGCUGCAUUAAGUAAAUAAAACAUUUAAGACCCGGUUUAGCUGCAUCAAGUAAAUAAAACAUUUAACGUGAUUCCCAGUUCCCUGCAACAUGAUUCCGAUUUGCCCACUGUGCGAAGCAAAAGUGCGACAAAACAAGACUCAAGAGUCAGUCCCUUAAUGUCAUGUUGGUUUAUGCAAAUUGAUCAUGGAACAAUGCAACUAAUAUUAAAAAUUCACUUUUUGAAGAGAAAAAAAAUUGGAAUACAUUAUCUACAUAUUUGAAGCAGUUGACAAGAAAGGUAAUCAGUGGCUCAAGUUACAAACCAAACUCCUCAGGUCUUCUUUUGAACUUCUUUAAACACACAAAAAGUCCUUCACAGUUGCAAUAAAAAAAUAUGAAGGGCCAAGAACGAUACAUUUCAAUAAUAUUACAACAG